CCUACGGGUGGCUGCAGUGGGGAAUCUUGGUCAAUGGGCGCAAGCCUGAACCAGCGAUGCCGCGUGAGUGAUGAAGGCCUUCGGGUUGUAAAGCUCUGUGGGGAGAGAAGAAAAAAGCCGGCGCGAAUAGCUCCGGUUCUUGACGGUAUCUCCUUAGCAAGCACCGGCUAACUCUGUGCCAGCAGCCGCGGUAAGACAGAGGGUGCAAACGUUGCUCGGAAUUACUGGGCGUAAAGCGCAUGUAGGCGGACGAGAAAGUCAGAUGUGAAAUCCCUGGGCUCAACCUAGGAACUGCAUUUGAAACUUCUCGCCUUGAGUAUUGAAGAGGAUCGCGGAAUUCCUGGUGUAGAGGUGAAAUUCGUAGAUAUCAGGAGGAACACCGGUGGCGAAGGCGGCGAUCUGGGCAAUUACUGACGCUGAGAUGCGAAAGCGUGGGGAGCAAACAGGAUUAGAUACCCUUGUAGUC
rnacentral:rRNA from 1 species